UUUUAAUUUGCCAAAAAUACAUUUAAUUAUAUCAAUUGGACAAAUUAAGUAAAUUAAGUUUAGUUUGCUAAAAAAAAAAAAGAAAAGAAAGAAAAAAAGUAGGCCUAGUAGAGCUAGUCAAUCACAAACUGUCUAUACCAGUCUCUGAAUUACAAAACGAAAAAAAGACAGUCCAUCAUCCCUGUAGAAAAUCAGUUAUAUCUUCUACAAACGAAAUGCACAACUAAAUCAAUAAUGUUAUUCAAGACAGUCUUCCUGAAACUCCUCAGUGUUUAAUGUCAAGAAUCAGCCUACAAGAAGAAGUCAUAUAUUGAUGCAAAACAAUUUAUUCUUCAUUAACAAUCCAGCGCCAUGCGUUUAUCAUGUUUCUGAGUGCGGGAGCUCAUGGAACUAUAAUAUCAGUGGCGGCGUUGGCGGAAGGAGACCAUCGAGAGUAGGAGUGCUGCUAGCGCAGAUUACGUCACGCGGUUGGCGACAGAAUGUCUGAGUGAGGCGCGAGUAAGCUACACGUGAAUGUGAAAUCUGGGAAAACACUGCGAGCUGAGAGUGCGUUUCAAGAAGUGUGCAGAAUUAUAAAACAGUUCUUAUAUGUCCAAAAUUGGUCACAUAAUUGUUUUAAUUUAUUAGGGUUUUUUUUUUUUCUUUUACAAUAUUGUGACUUGCAAGGGUCAUAUAGAAGCUGCAGCUUGGACAUCAGGCCUACUUGUUCUCACUUUAUUUGCAUAGCUUCUUAUAAGCAGAUUUUUACAGUCACUGCAUUGGAUUCAUUAUCAUUUUUCUACAACAGUAUCACCCACUGCUGAGGAGGGAGGAGAGGUCGUCGGAGGGCCUCUCACCUCUGCCACUGAGCCUUCAUUCACCCUCAUCACAAUGGAGCCGGACGGAAUGUGAGAUGUUCCUUCAAUUCAACAUUGUACAGUAAUUUCUCAAGAGACGAGAGCUGUGGUGCUACGUCCAUCUGGAGAUAUUUGACUUCUCUUCUCUGAUGAAGUUUCCCGAUGGACAAUAUCAAGUCCAGCACUUCAUAUUUUCUUGUUAGAGAAGCUGUUUCACUCGGAUACAUCAUACUAGGGGGAAAAAGACUAUCGCAAAUUCCAUUUUGUGCCGUUUCAUAGGUAAAAUAUUCUCAAUUAUGUCAAUAAAAUAAUACUAAUAAAAACAAUAUACCUGGCAAAA